AGUUCCGUGCGGGGCCAGCUGGCGGCGGCGCUUCCGGGCCCCCGUGGCCGCCACGGCCUGGCCGGUACGGGGUCCGCCGGCCCAGAACGUGAGCGUGGACGCCAGACAGCCCCCAGCUGCCUCGUCAGGGCUCGAGCAGCCCGUGAACUGGGCCCGGCCACGCUCGCCGCCCUGGAGUUAGAUGGGGCCUCCGAGGGCGUCCACAGCGGACAUUCCCGCGGGGAGCUCUCAUCGGCCCCCGCACCCCGUUCCUAUCUCGCACUUGACCUGGGCCCGACGCCCAGGGCGCCCCCUACAGCUCACACAGGGAUCCAAACGGCCUCCGCCGCCGGGCCACUGCCACUCGCAGUCUAGGAACCCCAGGAAGACACACACUCUGGGGACUUGUCCAAACACACGCACAGCUCAGACUCGUAGCCCUUGAGGCCCCCGCACCCACAAAGAAACUGCAGGCUCCCUUUGCCAACCCCAGGCCUCCCUGGGGCUCUGUCCUCAUCUUCCCAAGAGGGCUGCCACCCCUCUUGGGGGAGCUGCACCUCCUGCCCCCCCUCUUGGGGGAGCUGCACCUCCUGCCCCCUUCCCCUCCCUCUGUUUGCUCCUCCAUCUUUCUCUCGAGUUCCUUUUCCUCUGGUGGCUCUGGGGCUCUCUGUCUAGAGCCUCCUGACCUCAUGGGCGCCUGAGCCCUCCUCCGAAAUUUCCUGUCCACACCUCAAGCACUGACUUUCUCCAGGGCCCUGGAAUCUUUUCCCCCAGCCUUAUGACCACAAGUACACGUCCUCUGGUUCCAGACCAUACCCAAGACCCUGCUCCCUGCCACCCAGUGACAGGGACCCAGCCAGAGAUGGGUAGCACCUCAGACCCUUCCUCCCCACUCCUCCCACGGCCUAUACCUCGUUUUCUUCUCCCCAGCCACAACGGCUUCUCAAUCCCUAUCCUGCUCCCCUUACCCCAUCUCCACAGAGUAGGGGAUGCUCCUAGAAUACAGAUUGCGAUGACUUUGUAUCUCCCCUGCCUAAAACCCUUCCAUUCUCCUCUCUGCAGGCCUGGGAUGACAAUACUUGAGGAAUCCUCGCUGGUGCUGCCCUCCUGCCCUCUGCUUGGAACCCCUCCCCUAAGUGUCAGUGAGUGGACGUAUAUAUUUGGAUCAAUCGAGUUGCACCCUUUGCCUCCCAGAUCAGUUCCUCCGGCCUCCCUGGCUGAGCAGAAGGACAGCUCUGGACACUUGUGUCAGCACCCAGCCCACGUGUCCCUGCCACAGCUUCAUAUAAGAGAUCUUGCUGUUGCCCAGGCUGGAGUGCAAUGGCUAUUCACAGGUGUGAUCAUAGCUCACUGCAGCCUCGAACUCCUGGUUUCAAGCGAUCUUCCUGCCUCAGCUUCCUACUUGGGACUACAGAUUUAUUUCAUCUUUUUUUUUUUUUUUGAGAUGUAUCUCGCUCUGUCUUGCUCAGGCUGGAGUGCAGUGGUGCCAUCUUGGCUCACUGCAGCCUCCGCCUCCCAGGUUCCAGUGAUUCUCCUGUCUCGGC
rnacentral:lncRNA from 1 species